AGUGAACGCUGGCGGUAGGCUUAACACAUGCAGGUCGAACGGCAGCACAGUAAGAGCUUGCUCUUACGGGUGGCGAGUGGCGGACGGGUGAGGAAUACAUCGGAAUCUACUUUUUCGUGGGGGAUAACGUAGGGAAACUUACGCUAAUACCGCAUACGACCUACGGGUGAAAGCAGGGGAUCUUCGGACCUUGCGCGAUUGAAUGAGCCGAUGUCGGAUUAGCUAGUUGGCGGGGUAAAGGCCCACCAAGGCGACGAUCCGUAGCUGGUCUGAGAGGAUGAUCAGCCACACUGCAACUGAGACACGGUCCAGACUCCUACGGGAGGCAGCAGUGGGGAAUAUUGGACAAUGGGCGCAAGCCUGAUCCAGCCAUACCGCGUGGGUGAAGAAGGCCUUCGGGUUGUAAAGCCCUUUUGUUGGGAAAGAAAAGCAGCAGGUUAAUACCCCGCUGUUCUGACGGUACCCAAAGAAUAAGCACCGGCUAACUUCGUG
rnacentral:rRNA from 1 species